CACGGCCCAGACUCCUACGGGAGGCAGCAGUGGGGAAUAUUGGACAAUGGGGGCAACCCUGAUCCAGCCAUGCCGCGUGUGUGAAGAAGGCCUUUUGGUUGUAAAGCACUUUAAGCAGGGAGGAGAGGCUAAUGGUUAAUACCCAUUAGAUUAGACGUUACCUGCAGAAUAAGCACCGGCUAACUCUGUGCCAGCAGCCGCGGUAAUACGGAGGGUGCGAGCGUUAAUCGGAAUUACUGGGCGUAAAGCGUGCGCAGGCGGCUUUGCAAGACAGAGGUGAAAUCCCCGGGCUCAACCUGGGAACUGCCUUUGUGACUGCAAGGCUAGAGUACGGCAGAGGGGGAUGGAAUUCCGCGUGUAGCAGUGAAAUGCGUAGAUAUGCGGAGGAACACCGAUGGCGAAGGCAGGUCUCUGGGCAGUAACUGACGCUGAGGAGCGAAAGCAUGGGGAGCGAACAGGAUUAGAUACCCUGGUAGUCCAUGC
rnacentral:rRNA from 1 species